CCGGAGAUUCAUCCGCCGGAUCGGAGGUGUCAAAGCUCUUCGCAACACCUCUCUGCUUCCGUCACUCGCCUUCCGCAUAAGCCUCUCAUCGCUUGGCACCACAAACCCGUGCCGUGCACACUUCGUUGAACCAGGCCGUCCUGAGCAAGUGCAAGCUACCCGAACCCUCAGACCUGACCCGUGGCUCCUCCGUCUGAUCCGGUUGGUCUCGGAUCUUCCUGGCAUCUCUACGCCUUCACCAGAUGGGAUCCUUCUCGAAACCUGCAUAAGUAACUGACGUGUAUCUCUUGCUAAGAAUUUUGCAAGAAACGUUUCUUUAUAAACUAGCUGUGAGAGAGAGUCAAGGGAGUCUUCUUUCUCUAUAUUAAAGAAACACAAGAGAACAAGACCACUGACUUGGUUACAUGUUUUUGUAAUGGAGCGGUUGGUCUAAUUUUCAAAUUCUGAAUGCUCUAUUUGUCAAAGUUUGAAUGUUUGACCAAUUCCAAGUUCACCAACAGGUCAACGGAGAAACUUUAGAAGAAACAAAAUGAGAAAAUUCAAUGCAAACAUGCUUUCUGCCAAAUUCAACUUAUUUAAUCAUUUUACCAGCUUA